rnacentral:rRNA from 1 species
UACAGAGGGGGCAAGCGUUGUUCGGAAUUACUGGGCGUAAAGGGCGCGUAGGCGGCCGCCUAAGUCAGACGUGAAAUCCCCUCGGCUCAACCGGGGAACUGCGUCUGAUACUGGGUGGCUUGAAUUCGGGAGAGGGAUGCGGAAUUCCAGGUGUAGCGUGAAAUGCGUAGAUAUCUGGAGGAACACCGGUGGCGAAGGCG